CCUACGGGCGGCUGCAGUGGGGAAUAUUGGACAAUGGGCGCAAGCCUGAUCCAGCCAUGCCGCGUGAGUGAUGAAGGCCUUAGGGUUGUAAAGCUCUUUCGCCGGUGAAGAUAAUGACGGUAACCGGAGAAGAAGCCCCGGCUAACUUCGUGCCAGCAGCCGCGGUAAUACGAAGGGGGCUAGCGUUGUUCGGAAUUACUGGGCGUAAAGCGCACGUAGGCGGAUCGUUAAGUCGGGGGUGAAAUCCCAGGGCUCAACCCUGGAACUGCCUCCGAUACUGGCGAUCUUGAGUCCGGGAGAGGUGAGUGGAAUUCCGAGUGUAGAGGUGAAAUUCGUAGAUAUUCGGAAGAACACCAGUGGCGAAGGCGGCUCACUGGCCCGGAACUGACGCUGAGGUGCGAAAGCGUGGGGAGCAAACAGGAUUAGAUACCCCUGUAGUCCU
rnacentral:rRNA from 1 species